rnacentral:rRNA from 1 species
CCUGAGAGGGUGAUCGGCCACAUUGGGACUGAGACACGGCCCAAACUCCUACGGGAGGCAGCAGUGGGGAAUAUUGGGCAAUGGGGGGAACCCUGACCCAGCAACGCCGCGUGGAGGAAGAAGGUUUUCGGAUCGUAAACUCCUGUCCUUGGAGACGAGUAGAAGACGGUAUCCAAGGAGGAAGCCCCGGCUAACUACGUGCCAGCAGCCGCGGUAAUACGUAGGGGGCAAGCGUUGUCCGGAAUAAUUGGGCGUAAAGGGCGCGUAGGCGGCUCGGUAAGUCUGGAGUGAAAGUCCUGCUUUUAAGGUGGGAAUUGCUUUGGAUACUGUCGGGCUUGAGUGCAGGAGAGGUUAGUGGAAUUCCCAGUGUAGCGGUGAAAUGCGUAGAGAUUGGGAGGAACACCAGUGGCGAAGGCGACUAACUGGACUGUAACUGACGCUGAGGCGCGAAAGUGUGGGGAGCAAACAGGAUUAGAUACCCUGGUAGUCCACACUGUAAACGAUGAAUGCUAGGUGUAGGGGGUAUCGACCCCUUCUGUGCCGCAGUCAACACAAUAAGCAUUCCGCCUGGGGAGUACGGCCGCAAGGUUGAAACUCAAAGGAAUUGACGGGGGCCCGCACAAGCAGCGGAGCAUGUGGUUUAAUUCGACGCAACGCGAAGAACCUUACCAGGUCUUGACAUCCACUUAAACUUACAGAGAUGUAAGGUGUGCUUGCACAAAGUGAGACAGGUGGUGCAUGGUUGUCGUCAGCUCGUGUCGUGAGAUGUUGGGUUAAGUCCCGCAACGAGCGCAACCCUUAUC